rnacentral:rRNA from 1 species
UUAGUAACGGCGAGUGAAGCGGGAAAAGCUCAAAUUUGUAAUCUAACCAUUUUGUGGUUUGAGUUGUAAUCUAUAGAAGUGUUUUCUGUGCCUAGCCCCAUAUGAGUCUGUUGGAAUAUAGCGUCAAGGAGGGUGAGAACCCCGUUCGUGAUGGGUGUCUGGUGUGCUCUGUGAUACACUUUCUAAGAGUCGAGUUGUUUGGGAAUGCAGCUCUAAUUGGGUGGUAAAUUCCAUCUAAAGCUAAAUAUUGACGAGAGACCGAUAGCGAACAAGUACCGUGAGGGAAAGAUGAAAAGCACUUUGGAAAGAGAGUUAACAGUACGUGAAAUUGCUAUAAGGGAAACGCUUGAAGUCAGACAUGCUCCGUAUGUUCAGCCGCAAGGUGUAUUCAUAUGGUUGCAGGCUAGAGUCUGUUCUUGGGGUCGGAUAAGGGUUUGAGGAAUGUGGCCAGCUCGCUGGUGUUAUAGCCUCUUGCUUGAUACGACUCUAGGGACAGAGGACCGCAGUGCGCCUUCAUGGCAUUGGCUUUGGCCUUUUCCGCACUAAGGAUC